rnacentral:rRNA from 1 species
UCCCUAAAAGCCAUCCCAGUUCGGAUUGCAGGCUGAAACCCGCCCUGCAUGAAGUUGGAAUCGCUAGUAAUCGCGGAUCAGCAUGCCGCGGUGAAUACGUUCCCGGGCCUUGUACACACCGCCCGUCACACCAUGAGAGUCGGGAACACCCGAAGUCCGUAGUCUAACCGCAAGGGGACGCGGCCGAAGGUGGGUUCGAUAAUUGGGGUGAAGUCGUAACAAGGUACC